UACGUAGGUGGACGAAGCGUUAUCCGGAAUUAUUGGCGUAAAGCGCGCGCAGGCGGUUUCUUAAGUCUGAUGUGAAAGCCCACGGACUCCAACCGUGGAGGGUCAUUGGAAACUGGGAAACUUGAGUGCAGAAGAGAAGAGUGGAAUUCCACGUGUAGCGGUGAAAUUCGUAGAUAUUCGCAAGAACACCAGUGGCGAAGGCGGCUCACUGGCCCGAUACUGACGCUGAGUGCGAAGCGUGGGGAGCAAACAGG
rnacentral:rRNA from 1 species